rnacentral:rRNA from 1 species
CAAAGGAGCAAUCCGCUGAAAGAUGGGCUCGCGUCCGAUUAGGUAGUUGGUGGGGCAACGGCCCACCAAGCCGACGAUCGGUAGCCGGACUGAGAGGUUGAACGGCCACAUUGGGACUGAGACACGGCCCAGACUCCUACGGGAGGCAGCAGUGAGGGAUAUUGGUCAAUGGGGGAAACCCUGAACCAGCAACGCCGCGUGAGGGAAGACGGUUUUCGGAUUGUAAACCUCUGUCCUCUGUGAAGAUAAUGACGGUAGCAGAGGAGGAAGCUCCGGCUAACUACGUGCCAGCAGCCGCGGUAAUACGUAGGGAGCAAGCGUUGUCCGGAUUUACUGGGUGUAAAGGGUGCGUAGGCGGCUUUGCAAGUCAGAAGUGAAAUCCAUGGGCUUAACCCAUGAACUGCUUUUGAAACUGCAGAGCUUGAGUGGAGUAGAGGUAGGCGGAAUUCCCGGUGUAGCGGUGAAAUGCGUAGAGAUCGGGAGGAACACCAGUGGCGAAGGCGGCCUACUGGGCUCUAACUGACGCUGAGGCACGAAAGCGUGGGUAGCAAACAGGAUUAGAUACCCUGGUAGUCCACGCUGUAAACGAUGAUUACUAGGUGUGGGUGGACUGACCCCAUCC